CCUGCGCAGCGUGAAUGGAGGGUGGGGUUGCCCCUUUAGUACCUGGACGACGCUGUAAUCUGAUCCCGGGCUUAGACCCGGAGCUGAGAGCUAGGCGGCAGAAGAGUAGUCUUGUGGUGUAUCUGCAGAUCUAUUGAAGACUGUGUAAACGAAGCUCUGAGUCCCUCUUGCCCGUUUUAGCCUUCCUAGCGACCCAGCAGUGCUGGUUGGAAUUUCAAAAAGCCCAGAAUGAGCUCAUAAGAGAUGAUCUUGGUCCAAGAGCUGCAUAAAAUGAUCACCUUCCAGG